AUUGAACGCUGGCGGAAUGCUUUACACAUGCAAGUCGAACGGUAGAGGGGGCAACCCUCGAGAGUGGCGAACGGGUGAGUAAUAUAUCGGAACGUGCCCAGUCGUGGGGGAUAACGUAGCGAAAGUUACGCUAAUACCGCAUACGAUCUACGGAUGAAAGCGGGGGAUCGCAAGACCUCGCGCGAUUGGAGCGGCCGAUAUCAGAUUAGGUAGUUGGUGGGGUAAAGGCUCACCAAGCCAACGAUCUGUAGCUGGUCUGAGAGGACGACCAGCCACACUGGAACUGAGACACGGUCCAGACUCCUACGGGAGGCAGCAGUGGGGAAUUUUGGACAAUGGACGCAAGUCUGAUCCAGCCAUUCCGCGUGCAGGAUGAAGGCCCUCGGGUUGUAAACUGCUUUUGUACGGAACGAAAAGGUUUCCAUUAAUACUGGGAGCUCAUGACGGUACCGUAAGAAUAAGCACCGGCUAACUACGUG
rnacentral:rRNA from 1 species